rnacentral:rRNA from 1 species
GACGAACGCUGCGGCGUGCUUAACACAUGCAAGUCGAACGAUGAAGCCUAGCUUGCUAGGUGGAUUAGUGGCGAACGGGUGAGUAAUACGUGAGUAACCUACCUUUAACUCUGGGAUAAGCCCGGGAAACUGGGUCUAAUACCGGAUACGACCAAUCUCCGCAUGGGGUGUUGGUGGAAAGCGUUAUGUAGUGGUUAUAGAUGGGCUCACGGCCUAUCAGCUUGUUGGUGAGGUAACGGCUCACCAAGGCGACGACGGGUAGCCGGCCUGAGAGGGUGACCGGCCACACUGGGACUGAGACACGGCCCAGACUCCUACGGGAGGCAGCAGUGGGGAAUAUUGCACAAUGGGCGCAAGCCUGAUGCAGCGACGCCGCGUGAGGGAUGACGGCCUUCGGGUUGUAAACCUCUGUUAGCAGGGAAGAAGAGAGAUUGACGGUACCUGCAGAGAAAGCGCGGCUAA